UUGUAAUUCAAUCCUUUUACUUGAGUAGUCGACGGUUUCUGUUAAUCUGAAUAAAAUUAUAUCCCUGUGUAUCUUUCUCUCCUUCUGUCAACUAUUAUUCUCUCAUGUGUUUCUCUCUUUUCUCUAUCCUUUGCUUCUCUGUCCUUUCUUAACCUUAUUUGUUUCGUUUGUCUCACUUUGCAUACGCUUCCUGUGAUGAUAGGUCCGCAGACCAAUUUUCUCACAGUUUAUGUCCAGCUUUACCGAAAUUAAAAUGGUUAUAAAUUGGAGCAGCUUCAACUUCCAAAAUUCUAAAGGUUAAUAGAAUAGACUGGAUGUUAUCUGUGAUAUCCUUUCAAAAUAUCUUUUGGCAUCAUAAGCUUGCGACCUCAACAUUUGCAAAGUUAUUAUAUACUUCAAAUUCUGUAUUUAAAGUGUUACGAUUGCAUAGCAGCUGUGAUAAGCAUACCAUGGCAAAAAGUCGGUUUGAAUAUGUUCGUGAUUUUGAGUUGGAUGACAGAUGUUUGCCCAACUGCUGGUUAGUUGUUCGUAUUGAUGGCCAUUCUUUCCACAGGUGAAGAUGAAAGAAAGCAGC